rnacentral:rRNA from 1 species
AUUGAACGCUGGCGGCAUGCCUUACACAUGCAAGUCGAACGGCAGCAUGAUCUAGCUUGCUAGAUUGAUGGCGAGUGGCGAACGGGUGAGUAAUACAUCGGAACGUGCCCUGUAGUGGGGGAUAACUAGUCGAAAGAUUAGCUAAUACCGCAUACGACCUGAGGGUGAAAGUGGGGGACCGCAAGGCCUCAUGCUAUAGGAGCGGCCGAUGUCUGAUUAGCUAGUUGGUGAGGUAAAGGCUCACCAAGGCGACGAUCAGUAGCUGGUCUGAGAGGACGAUCAGCCACACUGGGACUGAGACACGGCCCAGACUCCUACGGGAGGCAGCAGUGGGGAAUUUUGGACAAUGGGCGAAAGCCUGAUCCAGCAAUGCCGCGUGUGUGAAGAAGGCCUUCGGGUUGUAAAGCACUUUUGUCCGGAAAGAAAUGGCUCUGGUUAAUACCUGGGGUCGAUGACGGUACCGGAAGAAUAAGGACCGGCUAACUACGUGCCAGCAGCCGCGGUAAUACGUAGGGUCCAAGCGUUAAUCGGAAUUACUGGGCGUAAAGCGUGCGCAGGCGGUUGUGCAAGACCGAUGUGAAAUCCCCGAGCUUAACUUGGGAAUUGCAUUGGUGACUGCACGGCUAGAGUGUGUCAGAGGGGGGUAGAAUUCCACGUGUAGCAGUGAAAUGCGUAGAGAUGUGGAGGAAUACCGAUGGCGAAGGCAGCCCCCUGGGAUAACACUGACGCUCAUGCACG